rnacentral:rRNA from 1 species
UACGUAGGGGGCAAGCGUUGUCCGGAAUCAUUGGGCGUAAAGCGCGUGUAGGCGGCUGAGUAAGUCUGCUCUGAAAGCCCGGGGCUCAACCCCGGGAGGCGGGUGGAUACUGCUCAGCUCGAGUCCGGAAGAGGAGUGUGGAAUUCCUGGUGUAGCGGUGAAAUGCGUUGAUAUCAUCUGGAACACCGGUGGCGAAAGCGGCCCACUGGGUCUUUUCUGACGCUGAGGAACGAAAGCUAGGGUAGCGAACGGG